UGGGGGAAAAUUAAAAAAUUAUAAAUAAUAAAAUAAAUUUUAAAAUUAAAAAAAAAUAAUGGGGGGUUAAAGUAUUUUUAAUAGAAAAAAUUUAAAAUUUUAUAAUGAAGUAGUAUUGUAAAAGAAAUUUGAAAUAAAUGAAAAAAAAAAUAAAAAAAAAGAAAAUUUAAUUUAUUGUAUCUUGUGUAUCAGAGUUUAUUAAAUAUAUUUUUUAUAAAAAAAAAUCUCGAAUUUAAAAGAGUUAAUUAAUUAAAAAAGUUAAUGUAACAUAAUUAUUUUAAAUAAUUAAUUAGAAAUGAAAUGUUAAUCGUUUUUAAAUAUAUCUAGUUAUUUUAGAAAAAAAUUUAAUUUUUAAUUUAAAUAAUUUUAUAAUUUAUUAAUAAAAAUUAUGAAAAUUUAAAAUUAAAUAUAUUAAGGGAUAAGCUUUAAAUUAAAAAUUUAUAAUAAUUAAAAAUUUUAAUUAAAAUUUUUAAAAUUUAUAUUGUUUAAAAAUUAUAAUUUAUUAUAAAAAAUUUUAAUAAUAAAUAAAAUUUAAUAAUUAAAAAUUUAAAUUUAUAUAAAAUAAUAAUUUUUAUUAAAAUAAAAUUAGAAAUUAUGAUAAAAUUAGUAUAAAUAAUUAAAAAAAAAAAAUAAAUUAAAAAUUAAAUUAAAUAAAAGGAAUUCGGCAAAAAUUUAUAUUCACUUGUUUAUCAAAAACAUGUCUUUUUGAUAAUAAUUUAAAGUCUAAUCUGCCCACUGAUAAAUAUUAAAGGGCUGCAGUAUUAUGACUGUACAAAGGUAGCAUAAUCAUUAGUUUUUUAAUUGAAAACUUGUAUGAAAGAUUUGAUGAAAUAUAAACUGUCUCUUAUUUAUUAUUAGAAAUUUAUUUUUUAGUAAAAAAACUAAAAUGUAUUUAAAAGACGAGAAGACCCUAUAGAGUUUUAUAUUUAUAAUUUAUUUUAUUUUAUAUAAAAUUUAAUAUUAAAUUAAAUAUAAAUAUUAUAUUGGGGUGAUAGAAAAAUUUAAUUAACUUUUUUUAAAAAUUUAACAUUAAUAAAUGAUUAAAUGAUCCAUUAAUAAUAAUGAUUAUAAGAAAAAAUUACCUUAGGGAUAACAGCGUAAUAUUUUUUUUUAGUUCAAAUAAAAAAAAAAGUUUGCGACCUCGAUGUUGGAUUAAGAUAAAAUUUAAAUGCAAAAGUUUAAAAUUUUGAUCUGUUCGAUCAUUAAAAUCUUACAUGAUCUGAGUUCAAACCGGUGUAAGCCAGGUUGGUUUCUAUCUUUAGAAAAAUUAAAUAUUUUAGUACGAAAGGAUCAAAUAUUUAAAAUAAUUUUAAUAUAAGAAUUUUAAUAAUGAAUUAAUAA
rnacentral:rRNA from 1 species